CCAGACUCCUACGGGAGGCAGCAGUGGGGAAUAUUGCACAAUGGGGGAAACCCUGAUGCAGCGACGCCGCGUGAGUGAAGAAGUAUUUCGGUAUGUAAAGCUCUAUCAGCAGGGAAGAAAAUGACGGUACCUGAUUAAGAAGCCCCGGCUAACUACGUGCCAGCAGCCGCGGUAAUACGUAGGGGGCAAGCGUUAUCCGGAUUUACUGGGUGUAAAGGGAGCGUAGACGGCAGCGCAGGUCUGGAGUGAAAGCCCGGGGCCCAACCCCGGGACUGCUUUGGAAACUGCCAUGCUAGAGUGCUGGAGGGGUAAGCGGAAUUCCUAGUGUAGCGGUGAAAUGCGUAGAUAUUAGGAGGAACACCAGUGGCGAAGGCGGUCUGCUGGACAGCAACUGACGGUGAGGCGCGAAAGCGUGGGGAGCAAACAGGAUUAGAUACCCUGGUAAC
rnacentral:rRNA from 1 species